GACAGAGGAUGCAAGCGUUAUCCGGAAUGAUUGGGCGUAAAGCGUGCGCAGGCGGUUGUGUAAGACAGAUGUGAAAUCCCCGGGCUCAACCUGGGAACUGCAUUUGUGACUGCACGGCUCGAGUGCGGCAGAGGGGGAUGGAAUUCCGCGUGUAGCAGUGAAAUGCGUAGAUAUGCGGAGGAACACCGAUGGCGAAGGCAAUCCCCUGGGCCUGCACUGACGCUCAUGCACGAAAGCGUGGGGAGCAAACAGG
rnacentral:rRNA from 1 species